AUUUGACUGAGGUCUGUAACGAGCCAGCAGUCAGGUUAGACAAAGGGAUUUAAGAUGAGAGGUGCUAAACAGUUAAAGUGAAUAUUUUAGUUUUAACUUUACAGGGCUUUCAAAAAGAAGAUAAUUCCUUGUAUUUACAAAACGCUAACAAUCAUAUAUAGGCAGGAUUGGAAGAUUAUUGUGCAAAAACAACCUAAGCAAUCCACUCACAGCAGGACAAAGGGAGAUGUGUUAUGCCGGUUCUGUAAAGUUAUUUUACUUUUAUCUACCUCAUGAAGUAUCACAC